UUUUUAUUGAUGAAAGUAAUUACCGUACGACUUUUGUGAUUAAAUUUAAAUGGCUGCAAAUUUUGCAACUGAAAUU
ensembl:snoRNA snoRNA:Me18S-G1952 snoRNA:Me18S-G1952